CAAGAUGUGUGCUUGCAGUACCUCCCAAUACGGAUACCUCACCGCGCCUGACAUGAGGUUCUCCAUAAAAACAUAGGCAGGUGGCUGAGCGGAUGGGCAGGCAAAGACACUAAAAGAAGCCCCUGGGCUUUUGGGGCUCCUCAUUCCACUAUACUGGGACCGAGGUGGGCAAGCUGGGGGGUGCCUGCCAUUCCAAACCCGGUUCAGACCUCAAGCCAAAAGCGAGGCUUUUACCACCCCAGGAUGCAGGAUGGGAGCUGGAUCCAGGCGCACAAAACUGAGUGAGGUUUCUGGCACAGGAUGACUUGAGGAUUUGAAGGAACCAGAAGUUGACGGCUGGUAUUGUAGGCAUCUGGGAUGAGAAUGUCCUGAACAUGACCAAAGUUAUUCUUCCAAACGAUCCUUCUUGAAGAAGCCGGUUUUCCACAGUGUUCUGGAAAUGAGCCGCUGAAUCUUUAUUGAAAACCUACGUCAAUCACAACCCAGCAAAAUAAAGAUGAGCUCAUCGCUGCAAACAUUUAA